GGAAAGAAUUGUGCAGUGGCUCCUCUCCACGUGACUUGACGGUACCCUCAAAGGAAGCACCGGCUAACUCCGUGCCAGCAGCCGCGGUAAUACGGGGGGUGCAAGCGUUGUUCGGAUUUAUUGGGCGUAAAGCGCGUGUAGGCGGUUUUAUAAGUCUGAUGUGAAAGCCCUGGGCUCAACCCGGGAAGUGCAUUGGAUACUGUAAGACUUGAAUACGGGAGAGGGCAGUGGAAUUCCUAGUGUAGGAGUGAAAUCCGUAGAUAUUAGGAGGAACACCGGUGGCGAAGGCGGCUGCCUGGACCGAUAUUGACGCUGAGACGCGAAAGCGUGGGUAGCAAACAGGAUUAGAUACCCUGGUAGUCCACGCUGUAAACGAUGAGAACUAGGUGUUGCGGGUAUUGACCCCUGCAGUGCCGUAGCUAACGCAUUAAGUUCUCCGCCUGGGAAGUACGUCCGCCAAGACUAAAACUCAAA
rnacentral:rRNA from 1 species